rnacentral:rRNA from 1 species
AGGAAUCUAACCACCCUGAACGUGCCUGAGCUUCUCCAGAGCUAAGCAGGGUUGGGCCUGGGGAGUACUUGGAUGGGGGGAAAGAUCUGAGUUGACAGUUCUUU